CUCUCGUGUGUGUGUGUGUGUGUGUGUGUGUGUGUGUGUAUACACACACACACACACACACGUUCACAUGAACUAGGUUU
rnacentral:miRNA from 1 species